rnacentral:RNase_P_RNA from 1 species
UGGUGAGAGAAGGUAUCUACUUGUAAUUUUUACGAGAGGAAAGUCCGGACAUCAUGAAAGAAACACAAAAGCUAAUGGCUUUGAUUUUGGAAAUAAUUCAUAAUUCUAAAAUACCAAUAGUGCUACAGAGACUAUACUAUAAGAGUAGUAACUACUCUUAGAAAUGUGAAAAGUCAUUUAGUGUUCUAUUUUAUAACUGCAUUAUUCCCCCCUUUCUUGAAAAAGAAUUAAAUAUGUGUGAUAAAUUCAGAGCUAUAAAUGAAAUUUGAUUUUCAAAUUUGGUAAACUGUGUGUGAUGCAAUGGGAAUGGUAUUUUUAGAGGUUAUCUCUUUCUAUUGCCUCAAAAAAAUAUACUCAGCUUGAGCUUUGAAGUGAUUCAAUGCCUAGAUAGAUUGAUACCUAGAUACAGAAUCCGGCUUAUUACUCUCACAAAAUU